GUGCCAGCCGCCGCGGUAAUACGUAGGGGGCAAGCGUUGUCCGGAUUUAUUGGGCGUAAAGGGUGCGUAGGCGGCCUUUUAAGUCAGAUGUGAAAGAUCACGGCUCAACCGUGGUAAGCAUUUGAAACUGGAAGGCUUGAGUUAAGGAGAGGAAAGUGGAAUUCCUAGUGUAGCGGUGAAAUGCGUAGAUAUUAGGAGGAAUACCAGUGGCGAAGGCGACUUUCUGGACUUAUACUGACGCUGAUGCACGAAAGCGUGGGGAGCGAACAGGAUUAGAUACCCUGGUAGUCCACGCCGUAAACGAUGAGUGCUAGGUGUUGGGGGUCAAACCUCGGUGCCGCAGCUAACGCAUUAAGCACUCCGCCUGGGGAGUACGUACGCAAGUAUGAA
rnacentral:rRNA from 1 species